rnacentral:misc_RNA from 1 species
AUAACUAAUUUGUGAAAACUGGUUUACGUCGCAUAUGUUAUGGAAUAAUAUUUACCCGAAAGAACUUACAACAUCAUACAGCAAUGCUGUAAUUAACCAGUGAAUGUUUGACCACUUGACCACUGUAACCAUAAGUCUGACGUGUCACGGCUGUAGUGGUCAAGCGGGACUAUGAAGUGGUAUCUUAAGCAGAAGACCUUGGGCUGGAUAAUAUUGUUUGUUUGGGUGAUGCUCUGGGGAUAUUUCAAUCGCUCGUCAUGUGUCAAAGAAAACAAGGAACCAGUAGCACACGCUUCAGAUCUGGGUACAAUGACCCCGGGACCAGUGUUACAUAUCAACAUUUUAGAUAUAAUAAGAUCGACACUCUUGAAAGCGCCAGAGAUAACGCGCCUUCCGCCAUCACCGACAGCGCCAGAGAUAACACGCCUUCCGCCAUCACCAACAGCGCCAGAAAUAACACGCCUUCCGCCAUCACCAACAGCGCCAGAGAUAACACGCCUUCCGCCAUCACCAACAGCGCCAGAAAUAACACGCCUUCCGCCAUCACCAACAGCGCCAGAGAUAACACGCCUUCCGCCAUCACCAACAGCGCCAGAAAUAACACGCCUUCCGCCAUCACCAACAGCGCCAGAGAUAACACGCCUUCCGCCAUCAUCAACAGCGCCAGAAAUAACACGCCUUCCGCCAUCACCAACAGCGUCAGAUAUUCAGCGUCCUCUACCAUCUCCAACAGAACAAGCGUCAACUGAGGUUGAAGUCACGGGGAGAUUGAAAGUCGAUCGUAGAAAAGCUCUUCUGUACGGAAAGGCAAGAAAAACUAAAAGUUCCUUGACUAUCGGGAUCCCUACAUUACGUCGACAGGGGGUGGAUUAUCUUGAGAAGACACUCUUUUCUCUAAUCACCCACUCAGAUGCGUCCCAGCAAAUGUCGAUAGUGGUGGUCAUUUUUAUGGUGGACAUGGACAAGACCUGGACCAGGAUAAGGAGCAAACAGCUAGCCGUCAAAUACCCCAAGCUCAUACAAAGCGGAUUCCUCCAGAUAGUGCAUCCACAUGAUCAAAGUAUAUAUCCAGAUUUUGGAAAGCUCAAAAGAACGUAUAAUGACUCAUUAGAGAGGGUGGCGUGGCGGUCGAAACAGAAUAUUGAUUAUGCUUACCUUUUCGCGUAUAGUCAAAACAUAUCAAAAUAUUAUCUCCAACUAGAGGAUGAUGUCGUUGCAGCUAGCGACUAUUAUAGAGACAUUGUAAGUUUUAUUGAUUCCAAUUCCAACAGAUUCUGGUAUUACCUUGAGGUUUCACAUAUAGGAUUUAUUGGAAAACUGAUACGAUCAUCAGACCUUGGUGGUCUGUCAGAAUAUAUUAUGAUGUUUUUUGAUGAACAGCCAGGUGACCUUUUGCUUAUUGCAUUAGGUAAAAUCAAAACACAGUCAAAGAGGAUAGUUGCAACUAGAUCUUUGUUCCAACAUAUAGGUACCGUGUCAAGUUUGCCGGGAAAAGUACAAAAAAUAAUUGACAAACAUUUCAAAGAUUCGUUUGACAAACGUUUCAAAAAUGCAUUUGGUUUAAAAGACUCGUUUAGUUUGAAACAAUAUCCCCGAAAGAGAUUCUAUCAUUCAAAUCCCUCCGCAAAAAUAGAUACAAACAUUGAAGUGUAUUCAAAUUAUAACCCUGUGUAUGCGUAUGACUUAUCAAAUAGGUUUUUCUGGGGAGUCAGUCCUAGACGGGGAGGAAACUUUCGAGUCAUAUUCCAUGUUCCUCAAAACAUAAGCCGUAUAUUCAUAGAUUCUGGUAGCACUGAAAUAGACACAGACAUACUGUAUGAUGGUAAACUGUUAGUAUCAUCCAGCAUAUCAAAUGAGGAGCGAACACCAUGUCAAAAUUUCACAACCAUCUCUAAAUUUGAGAAUGGCGACAUCGACACCAGCAAAUCGAAUGUUUCACUUCCGGUAAAUAUAGACUGUAUUGUUAUUGCAGUGAUGGCCAAUCAAACUGAUUGGCUCGUUAUUAGAGAGAUCGCCAUAUUCCUUCCGGGCGAACUUGAAAUUACGGAACCGAGUAAUCAAUUAUCCCAAAAACCUAGCAAGGAACGUGUAAUGAUAGGAAAGGAUGCACUGGAGAAAAGUGAUUCACUUAAACCACAUCUCGCUCACAGAAACUCAAUAGAACGACAUACCGUAUUUAACAUUCGUGGUCAUAACAAGCAGUAUGAACCAGGACAUACCGACGACCACGUAUCAUAUCCGCCGUACAGAGGUGUUACGGUGAAUCUUGGUGAUAAAGAUGUCAAACAUUUUGAAAGAGAAAGCGAUGUGAAGCAAGCGUCUGACAUGAAUCAGACAACAACGUCUCGUGUACAACAUCCAUUUGAACAACAUUACGACAACGUCACACAACGGGAUGAUGCAAUGAACAUAUACAAUUCAACUGGGGUGAAUAAGUAUUCUAGGAAAAGAUUUUAUCACGUCAAUCCUCCCGCAACAAUACACACACAAAUUGAAACUUUCUCUGGUUAUAAACCUGUAUAUGCAUAUGAUUUGUCGGACACAUUUUUCUGGGGGUCCUAUCCGAAACAAGGCGAUUACUUCUUGAUAUUACUGAAGUCUCCACAAAACAUCAGCCGUAUAUUCAUCGACUCUGGUUACGAAGGAAAGGAAUUUGACAUACUACAAAACGCUAGACUGUUGAUAUCAACAAGAACACCUGGUAAUGAAGAAAGAACAUGUCAAAAGCUCGGAGCUGUAGCACUCUUUGUAAAUGGGGACGUCGACACAAAGAUUUCAAACAUUUCACUUCCGGUAAAUAUAGAUUGUAUUGCAAUAGAGCUUACGGCAAAUCAAAACGACAGGCUCAUCAUCCGAGAAAUCGCUGUGUUCCUAUCAGGAGAAUUAGAGAGUGCGAAGCUGGACAAAAUUACAAGCUCCCCACAAAUGCGAGAGGAACGUAAGGUGCUUGAACAGACAUUCAAAAGAAAUGAAACAUUAAAACGACUAUUUGUUUCCAAACAGUCACUUGGGUCGGUUCAAACAAAGAACCCCGAUAACAUUAAAUCACAAUGGCAAGAUCUGCAAGGCCAUACCGACAGCCGUCGUUCGAAUUUAAAUCAACCGAAAGAAAGUUUAGACCGGCGACCGUAUGUAUCUCCAAACCACAGGCAAAUAAAUGUGCAUGAUGCAAAUGAUGCGAAAAAUCGCUCAGAAACGUUGUUUAAAAACGGAUAUGCCAUAGACCGAAAUAAACUUUUAAAAAAUGGACGUCAUCAUCGUUAUCAACCGACUUCCGACAGCAGAUUUAACAACAGUGAAGACAAACGUGUGCAACAAAGGACCUAUUCGCUACUACAACAAAACAACACUGAAUUUUCACACAAUAUAGAAACAAAUAGAAAAAAACUUUAUGUGAAUCCGUGGCACACCAGUGAUGCCAAAGUUGUUGAAAAAGUAACUACAGACAAGAAAACAAGCAAUGUUAAGCGGGUACCCGAGGUAACUAAGAUAGUCAACUAUACAUUGGAACAUCGUAAAGAACAAAAGUACAACGACAGGCAAACGGAUAAUAUUGCAAACAAAACGGAAAAGAAUGGAGUGAAUCAGUAUUCUCGGAAAAGAUUUUAUCACGUCAAUCCUCCCGCAACAAUACACACACAAAUUGAAACUUUCUCUGGUUAUAAACCUAUAUAUGCAUAUGAUUUGUCGGACGCAUUUUUCUGGGGGUCCUAUCCGAAACAAGGCGAUUACUUCUUGAUAUUACUGAAGUCUCCACAAAACAUCAGCCGUAUAUUCAUCGACUCUGGUUACGAAGAAAAGGAAUCGGACAUACUUCAAAACGCUAGACUGUUGAUAUCAACAAGAACACCUGGUAAUGAAGAAAGAGCAUGUCAAAAGCUCGGAGCUGUAGCACUCUUUGUAAAUGGGGACGUCGACACAGAGAUUUCAAACAUUUCACUUCCGGUAAAUAUAGAUUGUAUUGCGAUUGAGAUUACGGCAAAUCAAAACGACAGGCUCAUCAUCCGCGAGAUUGCGGUAUUCCUAUCCGGAUAAUUGAAGAACAAUGAACUGGACAAAAAUGUCAUCUCCUGAAAGAUUCAAGAGGUUAGUAAGACACGUUAAAACAUAUACUGAUAGAAGUGAUAAUGUCCUUAAACCAACGUUGCAUCUCCGCAGUAUUUUCAGUAGGGCAGAUGGAAAAAUCAAAGGACCUCAGCAUUUCCAAGAUAUACAGACAGGCACAACUUGAGUCCAGUCCAACUGAAGAAGCAAUAAGGUCGACACCACAAGUGCCUCUUAAUCGCAAGAAGAUAAAUAAAAAACAAGUAUAUGCUACCAGGAUUGAACUCGGGGCCUGCUCUACGUUUGGUUACUUAGUCAUUUGGUUAUGACAUGGAACUUGUUGAGAUCACAACCUCUAAAUGAGAUACGUAAAUGCUGGGUUUGAAGAGAUGAACACACGCUAUCAGAAAAAACUUAUCAUCCAACAAGCGAACGAAAGGUUCAAGUAAUUUCUCACAAAGAGUUUACUUGAAAAUUUUGAGAGUAGAGUCAAAUGGUUUCAAUACCACCCCACACCACCCUAGA